ACGCUUUGAUUAGAGCGUAAGCUAAUCAUGUUGACUUGGUCCAAUACUAGAAUAAUAUCUAAUUUUAUCUACCCUAUCAAUUUCGCUUCUACUUUGCCUACUCCAUUAGUUGGUAUCAUAAAAGUUCUGUGCAAAUCACACAACUUUCCUUAAUGUCCAUGUCCAUCCAUACCAAAUCCACCACUGAAAAGAAAAAAACAAAACAGAAACAGAAAAUCCUAAAUUUUUCGAAACCCUAGCCACCACAACCGCCACCACUGCCGCUGCCACCUAUGGCCACCCACCACCCCCGUUCAGCUAGCCAACACCACCAUUAAACUUGACGGCCUCCACUGACCAAAACCCUAUCGACCGUCAUCCUUAAUCAAGACUAAAGCCACCACAAAACACCCAAAUCUGCAAGCUCUCCACCCACUAUUGCCACCAUCUUCGACCACCACCACCAUCGUUCAACUAACCAUCUAAAUCAUCGUCAGCUGCCGACCAAAGCCCGACCGUCCAUAGGCCUUAAUCAGCUGCGCAACCACUGCAUGAACAAACCAAAACUGCGAGCUCUCCAUCAGCCGCCGCUGCGAAACCAGCCACUUUUACCGUCGACCACCAUUACUACAAGAAUCCUCAGUCUUCACUGUCCAAUAUCCGACCAUUCUCAUCACCAAACAUCACUAGAAACAACCACAAAAGUUCACCCUUAUUUAUAGUUUUGCCAUCAUCUUUAUAUUUAUAAUUGAAAUAUUCAAAGGGCAUCAUGCUUUGGAAGCUUGAUGGAAAUUACAAUCUUGAAUAUUUUCUUUCAUGGUUGGAUACGAUUGAUCAAGAAUAUAUAAUUAGAUUACCAAGGUAUGAUCGAGUUCAAUUUGUAGCUGAUUUUAUAUUAAUUUGUAGUGCUUUAGAAUGGUGGACUAGACUGCGAAGGUAUAGAUUACUUAUCGAAGGUCGUUUUAAA
rnacentral:lncRNA from 1 species